rnacentral:tRNA from 1 species
GGAAGGAUGGCCGAGUGGCUGAAGGCGCUGGUCUCGAAAACCGGUAUACCCUUCACGGGGUAUCGGGGGUUCGAAUCCCCCUUCUUCCG